rnacentral:lncRNA from 1 species
AACUUUAUUUCAAAAAAUUGUUUAAUUUUAAAUGAAAAAUAUUUUAUUUUAUUUUAAAAUGUAAAAAACAAUAUAAAAGAAAAUCCGCAGCAAAAGCCACAGACAAUUUUCCUGUGCAAAGACUACCUGCACAGAAAAAUAUGAUAAUUUGCAAACUUUGCAAGAAAAACCGCAGGUUCUCGUGCGGAAUUUGCUGCCAAGAC